UUUUGUUCACCAGGAAGAGAACUGCAGCCAGACUGUCCCGUUUGAGUCCGGCCAUCUGCACCAGCUGGUUGGCAAACCCACUGCCAACCGUUUGAUGUCGACGAGGAGCUCAGCGACGUGCUCACGCCGGUGUCCCAGGUGUAUGUAUCAGCGACUGCUCUUCCCAGAAUAAGCCUGUGACUAUUUUGGCCUGCUCUGAUGUCACGCUGGCCUGUGGGGCAUGCAGAGCCGUCUAAGGGAACGAUGACGGAUGCCUCUGGAUGUCUACGAGCUCAAAUCCUCCCCUUCCUCCCCUCCAGUGUCUCAUACUGAUGUGUAAUGCUGACCCACUUUAUUUGACGGGGAGCUGGGAAGAAGGAAGCAACGACUGAGGGAAAGGAACGAUGGAAGGAAGGACAUCAGAGCUCUCCUCCUCUUCCUCUUUUUGCUCUCCCUCCCUGCUGCUCAUGUCCCACAGUGCUGUGUUUAAGGAGCAUUCUGUAAUGACAGAGAUUUAAACCUAGCCAUGGACAGCAACAGGGAAGGACGAGGAGGAGACGCAGAGUCGGGGAGAUUUAAGGGGCAUCUGGAGAGAGGGAUGGAAGUGAGAUGGGUGGAGGACAGAAGAGCACGUGGAGAACCUGCGUUUUCUGUCUCCCCCUACUAUGAAUAUUUGAUGUGAGGGACUAAAACCAGCUCCGUGAACUCUGAAAAAGUUUGACAGCUGAAAUAAAAAAGGAGAGUGGCUUACAACAGCCAUCCAGAGGAAAAGAGCAGGGAGAGCUGCUACUCGGAGAGAUGUCUGAGUGAGGGAGGCAGAAGAAGAGACAGGCUGGAAACUGUACACACACAUAUGUAUUAUCAGGGAAAUGGUAUAAUGAAAGGGGAGUAAAAGUGCAGGCCUACAUGUAUCCUUUGCUGAAAAUACAACGGCAUGACGUUCAUUUUUGGUUGUUAAAUGCAAUUUUAAAUUCUCCCAGUCUCAAAUCUGUGUUUAAAUCUAGUUCUAAUCUUAAAAUGUAAUCCCUACUCUCACUCUAACCUAGCCUAUUGAAGAGGUGAGAACUGCCACAUUGUCUUUACUUUGGAGGAUUUUGUCUAUUCUCAUAAGGACAUGUAAUUCUAAAAUGCAGUGGAACACACACACGCAGGCUUGCACACACUGACACACUGAGGGCAGGCAGGGCCAUUGAAAUAUUGAUGGAGGCUCUCUCCUUGCCGUAAUGAAAAAUCGUCCUCCGAUAAAUGUUUCAUCCGUCCAGAUGCAUCACCUACCCAUUUUUAACAGAUGAGGCAGUUCGCUGUAGAAACACAAACACUGGGGAAGUGGGUCUCGCUGCAAUUUGUUCCCCCUGAGCAUACAAUUGAGAGGGACAAGAUUGAUAUUUUAAAACAGAAAGGGGAACAGAGGAGGAAGCAGCAGCAGCACUUUACAUGUUAUUCUCACCCACACUGAUUUCCCUCACACUCUUUAAAGAAAGCUUUUAACUGGGUAUAUGAUGGUGUGAUGGCAUUUUUGUUUAAAUUAUAUAUAUAUUUACAUAGUUGCUGAUUAAGUAUUCGUUGCAGCUCUAGCUGGGGCAGAUGGGAAUGUCAUUAGUUUUGUCACAAUCCAAAGUACUGGAUACAGUGAAGUUUAGACCACAUGAUGGCACUAGAUGGUUAAUGUAGCGCCAAAGUUUUUACAAUUUAUCUUGAGGGGAACAAGAAUGACUGAAAUGUUAUGACCAUCCAGCCAAUAGUUGUCAAGAAAUUUCACUCAAAGUGGAUGAGGAUCACAAAAGUCAGUAGGAUUCAUCUUCUUGAGAUCAUGGAUAUCUGUAGCAAAUUGCAUGGCAAUCCAGCCAAUAGCUGCUGAGAUAUUUCAGUCUGGACCAAAGUGGCCAACCAACCAACCGACAGACACUGCCAUCCCUAGAGCAAUGCAUAGUAAAAACUACAAAAACUGAAUUUAAAGAGCUGUGGGGGGGGGGACAUAAAUACAUUUGACAUUGCAUCACUGGAUCAAUGUUGUGUAUGCAGAAAAGGUAAAUCAGCAUGUAAUGCCAGACCCUCAGAAAUAUUUUCUUUCUUCAACUCACCACUUUGCACAGAUGUUCAGCAACCAGUCACAAAAAAAUGAAUAAUUGUAAAUCCGUUUUUAUUUAAAAAACAAACAAAACACAUUGCAACGUUGUGCUUUGAAUGGGAGGUGCAGCUGCUUUCUGGGAACAAGGAAUUCAGAAACUGAAGUAAAAGUAGCAAAAGCUGGACUGACAGUUAAUGUAAAUUACAGUGAAUCACUUUAUCACAGAAUAGCCCAUAAACUGUGCUCAAUAUGCCAAGCUGAUAACUUCUAAGAGAGUAAACGUGUUCUGUAGUAGCUGAAAUGUAGAUCUGACCUCACCGGGUCUCAAUCGAGUGGCACACUUUGAUGACUGCUUCUCCCAGUGCUUAUAUCAUCCGUGGAAAGAUCCAGCUUACAGUACAUGCUUGCUGAGGAUGCUUCAACACAGUUUGCUUGUCAGAUGAUUUGCCUCUGUUAGUGAGUUAGCAAGAACGUAUUUCCCUUAAAAAACACAACAUAUAUCACGGACCCUCAAAUAGAAAACAUUUACCAACAGGCAAUAAAUGUGUGGCAAUUUAUGCCCCUCUUUUGAUUUGACUUUAUACCAUUUCAUAUUACAUAAAUAAAAGCACAAAACUCUCUUUUUACAACAUGAAAGCUUGAAUUCUGCCACCAUUAUGUGUGAAUGCUUUAU